AGCUCCAAUAGCGUAUAUUAAAGUUGUUGCAGUUAAAAAGCUCGUAGUUGAAUUUCUGAUAGAAGGGAGCGGUUCCGCAUUCUUGCGGAUACUUGCUCGUCUUCCGUCAUCCUUGGGCUUAGUCUCGCUGAUAUUAACUUAUCGGCGUGUACGAUGCCCAUCGUUUACUGUGAGCAAAUUAGAGUGUUCAAAGCAGGCAUAUGCCGUUGAAUAUAUUAGCAUGGAAUAAUAAGAUAGGACUUUUCGACUAUUUUGUUGGUUUGCGUUGUGAAGUAAUGAUUAAGAGGGACAGUUGUGGGUAUUCGUAUUCAGAUGUCAGAGGUGAAAUUCUUAGAUUAUCGGAGGACGAACGACUGCGAAAGCAUUUACCAAGGAUGUUU
rnacentral:rRNA from 1 species